UACGGAGAGCGCAAGCAUUAAUCGGAAUUAUUGGGCGUAAAGGGCGCGUAGGCUGAAAGGUAAGUCAGAUGUGAAAUUCCGAAGCUCAACUUCGGAGCUGCAUUUGAAACUGCCAUUCUAGAGGGUUGACGGAGAAAACGGAAUUCCACGUGUAGCGGUGAAAUGCGUAGAUAUGUGGAAGAACACCAGUGGCGAAAGCGGUUUUCUAGUUAAUACCUGACGCUGAGGCGCGAGAGCAAGGGGAGCAAGCAGG
rnacentral:rRNA from 1 species